AUUGAACGCUGGCGGCAUGCUUUACACAUGCAAGUCGAGCGGCAGCACGGGGUUAACCCUGGUGGCGAGCGGCGAACGGGUGAGUAACACAUCGGAACAUGCCCAGUCGUGGGGGAUAGCACGUCGAAAGACGUGCUAAUACCGCAUACGACCUGAGGGUGAAAGCGGGGGAUCGAAAGACCUCGCGCGAUUGGAGUGGCCGAUGUCGGAUUAGCUAGUUGGUGGGGUAAAGGCCUACCAAGGCAACGAUCCGUAGCUGGUCUGAGAGGAUGAUCAGCCACACUGGGACUGAGACACGGCCCAGACUCCUACGGGAGGCAGCAGUGGGGAAUUUUGGACAAUGGGGGCAACCCUGAUCCAGCCAUGCCGCGUGAGUGAAGAAGGCCUUCGGGUUGUAAAGCUCUUUCGGCAGGAACGAAACGGUGUGCUCUAACAUAGCGUGCUAAUGACGGUACCGGAAGAAGAAGCACCGGCUAACUACGUG
rnacentral:rRNA from 1 species